rnacentral:lncRNA from 1 species
UGUCCAUCUCAGCGUGUAGAAGCACACAAAGCUUAUAGCUAGCUAAAAUGGCUUCCAAGUCUCUGGCCUUCGUGUGCGUCAUCUUCGCCUUCCUCGUCAUCAUCUCGCAAGGCGUGGUUGCUGCUAGGGAUCUCACCCAUGGUAAUGUUUCUCCCCCUGAAUUAAUCUCUACCUCGUUUCUUUGUAUUUCUGUGUUCUUUCUGUGGCACAUACGGAGGAACUUGAUUACCAUAUGGCUAAGGUUGGCUUGGGUGUGCUGCAAAUUCUCCAUGGAGGGAAUAGCUCUACAUGCCAUGGUUAUUUCUAAUGAUGUUGCCCUACCAUGGUUGCAGUUAACAGAGCAGGUAGCAGCUACCGUGGUGGCUGGUCGGGCUCGCUCUUCGUAAGAAUCUGACAAAAUAAAUGCAGUUUCGGUUCGCAUUUGCAGAUCAUUCGUGUGUAUGGUAUACAAUUUCUGUAUACAAGUAAGCUAGGUAGACACCCCUGGAAUGGUUUGCGAGGGACUGGUAUAUAUGUGCCCUGUGUAUUCAAUAUGAAUUUGUAUCAAAUGUAUUGACCGUUCUAGUGCUUAAGGAUCAUUUUUCGACAAAGGGGCCGUGCCUUCACUCCAACUCGUCCAAUUUGCCCAAACUAUUUCUCAAAAGUGUGUUAGAAUAAAUCUGAGGCAUACCGUCGAUUAUUCGAGGACCAAGCAAUCACAGGAGCACGACACCGAGAUUUGUUAACGAGGUUCACCGAUAUGGCUACAUCCUCGGGGCAUGACUACGGGCGCUCCUUCCCGUGACACCGUCAUAAUGCCGCACAUCGGCCACCCGAGCGCCGGCACACGCCGCCGGCUCCCACUUGCGCGUCUCUACUAUUAUGUUGGCAUAGGUUACAUCGUGUGUCUACCCCCGCAAUAUAUGAGAGGCCUAGGAUACAAGUGUCCUAUUAGGACACAACCCCACAUCCUAUGUAAACACAAUACAACUCCUAGUCCAAAUGUAACCUACUUUGUACACAAUAUUUGACAC